AUAAACACAAUAAUAGAUUCAUAGUGAGUGAGAAGUU
rnacentral:guide_RNA from 1 species